rnacentral:ncRNA from 3 species
UGGAUGAAACAGGGGUGCCGUACGGAUGGGCCGUGCGAGCUGAGAGAGUCCCUUCGAACCCGAUCCGGUUAGUACCGGCGUGGGAAGUUUCUAGCAAGACCAA